GUGCUUGCUUCAGCAGCACAUAUACUAAAAUUGGAACUAUACAGAGAAGAUUAGCAUGGUCUCUGCACAAGGACAACAUGCACAUUUGUGAAGCAUUUCUGGUAGUU